rnacentral:rRNA from 1 species
UGUGUGUUAGUGGAAGCGUCUGGAAAGGCGCGCGAUACAGGGUGACAGCCCCGUACACAAAAAUGCACAUGCUGUGAGCUCGAUGAGUAGGGCGGGACACGUGGUAUCCUGUCUGAAUAUGGGGGGACCAUCCUCCAAGGCUAAAUACUCCUGACUGACCGAUAGUGAACCAGUACCGUGAGGGAAAGGCGAAAAGAACCCCGGCGAGGGGAGUGAAAAAGAACCUGAAACCGUGUACGUACAAGCAGUGGGAGCACGCUUAGGCGUGUGACUGCGUACCUUUUGUAUAAUGGGUCAGCGACUUAUAUUCUGUAGCAAGGUUAACCGAAUAGGGGAGCCGAAGGGAAACCGAGUCUUAACUGGGCGUUAAGUUGCAGGGUAUAGACCCGAAACCCGGUGAUCUAGCCAUGGGCAGGUUGAAGGUUGGGUAACACUAACUGGAGGACCGAACCGACUAAUGUUGAAAAAUUAGCGGAUGACUUGUGGCUGGGGGUGAAAGGCCAAUCAAACCGGGAGAUAGCUGGUUCUCCCCGAAAGCUAUUUAGGUAGCGCCUCGUGAAUUCAUCUCCGGGGGUAGAGCACUGUUUCGGCAAGGGGGUCAUCCCGACUUACCAACCCGAUGCAAACUGCGAAUACCGGAGAAUGUUAUCACGGGAGACACACGGCGGGUGCUAACGUCCGUCGUGAAGAGGGAAACAACCCAGACCGCCAGCUAAGGUCCCAAAGUCAUGGUUAAGUGGGAAACGAUGUGGGAAGGCCCAGACAGCCAGGAUGUUGGCUUAGAAGCAGCCAUCAUUUAAAGAAAGCGUAAUAGCUCACUGGUCGAGUCGGCCUGCGCGGAAGAUGUAACGGGGCUAAACCAUGCACCGAAGCUGCGGCAGCGACGCUUAUGCGUUGUUGGGUAGGGGAGCGUUCUGUAAGCCUGUGAAGGUGUGCUGUGAGGCAUGCUGGAGGUAUCAGAAGUGCGAAUGCUGACAUAAGUAACGAUAAAGCGGGUGAAAAGCCCGCUCGCCGGAAGACCAAGGGUUCCUGUCCAACGUUAAUCGGGGCAGGGUGAGUCGACCCCUAAGGCGAGGCCGAAAGGCGUAGUCGAUGGGAAACAGGUUAAUAUUCCUGUACUUGGUGUUACUGCGAAGGGGGGACGGAGAAGGCUAUGUUGGCCGGGCGACGGUUGUCCCGGUUUAAGCGUGUAGGCUGGUUUUCCAGGCAAAUCCGGAAAAUCAAGGCUGAGGCGUGAUGACGAGGCACUACGGUGCUGAAGCAACAAAUGCCCUGCUUCCAGGAAAAGCCUCUAAGCAUCAGGUAACAUCAAAUCGUACCCCAAACCGACACAGGUGGUCAGGUAGAGAAUACCAAGGCGCUUGAGAGAACUCGGGUGAAGGAACUAGGCAAAAUGGUGCCGUAACUUCGGGAGAAGGCACGCUGAUAUGUAGGUGAGGUCCCUCGCGGAUGGAGCUGAAAUCAGUCGAAGAUACCAGCUGGCUGCAACUGUUUAUUAAAAACACAGCACUGUGCAAACACGAAAGUGGACGUAUACGGUGUGACGCCUGCCCGGUGCCGGAAGGUUAAUUGAUGGGGUUAGCGGUAACGCGAAGCUCUUGAUCGAAGCCCCGGUAAACGGCGGCCGUAACUAUAACGGUCCUAAGGUAGCGAAAUUCCUUGUCGGGUAAGUUCCGACCUGCACGAAUGGCGUAAUGAUGGCCAGGCUGUCUCCACCCGAGACUCAGUGAAAUUGAACUCGCUGUGAAGAUGCAGUGUACCCGCGGCAAGACGGAAAGACCCCGUGAACCUUUACUAUAGCUUGACACUGAACAUUGAGCCUUGAUG